CCCUUAGAUGUUCUGGGCUGCACGCGCGCUACACUGAAGCGUUCAACGAGUAUUCACCUUGCCCGGGAGGGUUGGGUAAUCUUUUGAAAACGCUUCGUGAUGGGGAUAGAUUAUUGCAAUUAUUAAUCUUCAACGAGGAAUUCCUAGUAAGCGCGAGUCAUCAGCUCGUGCUGAUUACGUCCCUGCCCUUUGUACACACCGCCCGUCGCUCCUACCGAUUGAGUGAUUUAGUGAGGACUUCGGACUGGGACCGAUGCGGCUUUCGGGCUGCGUCGGUAUUCUGGAAAGAUGUCCAAACUGUAUCAUUUAGAGGAAGUAAAAGUCGUAACA
rnacentral:rRNA from 1 species